ensembl:lncRNA
CUUUUCUUCAGCCCUCUGCAGUAAUUCCUUAGGUUGCCAUGUUGCUGGAGUGCUCAGAUCAACAGGAGCAGAACCUCCCACUACCCUGCGUUCUGCUCCCGUGCCCCAGCCCAAAACCCUCUGCCCGCUGUGGUUUUAGUGUCCAAGGUGAGAGCUGGAGGUGAAAUGUAUGCUCAUGACAGGAGGUUCACUGCCACCCUCAGCACUCUCCUUGGGACAUCCUGCUCUUUUCCUGAGUGUGUGGGAAGCAACAACAAGUCUUUUCUAUGUGAAGGCAGGAGCUGCUAAAUUCUCCAGCCUCUGCAAUGAGAUUACUGUUCCAAAGACAGCAAUAACCUCCUCCCCUGAACAGAACCUGGAAUUUUGUAUGCAGAGCUUUCCUGUUGUGGCCAUCUGAUGUUACAGUUACCAGCAGUCACUUGGGAGCCCUACAGUGGGACCAAUCACUGGCACAUGGAGCUGUUCACAAUAGGAGGGCGAUGGAGACUGAAAGAAAAAUAUUGCUUCCACCCAACGUCACUGUACAAGUCCUUUGUUUCAAGUCAAAAUUCACUUUAGACACAAGACAGAACCAUAAUCACCAACAAGGGUAGAAAGCCACCAGAUACAGCAUACAUUUAAGGAACAAAGCUCAGUGGAUUCUAUGAAAUUAGACUUUCUUCUGACAAGAUUAAAUCAAGACAAGGAAUGAGGCAAAAAGUUUUUGAAAGAGCCCUUGGAAACAGACUUACUUUCCUCUCCAAGAUGGCAUAAUUUUCCUGAACCAGAGCCAGUUCCAUCAUUCUUCGGCACAUUCUCAUAAUCCAAACCACAAAAGCCUUCUGAUGACUAAGAGUUCUUUUUUGAAAUUUAUAUGACUGUUUAUGCUAUAUGUGAUCUAACUCAUCUUGAUGCAUCCUGCGAAGUCAGAUGUGUCCAGCUUGCACCUGAUUGACUGUGUGAAUUUUUUUGAUCUCUGCAUAUAUCCAGCUGAGCCUUCUGCUUUGCCAACAUCUAUAUUGCCUCAGUGUCACCUGAUGCUCUGGUCCAUGGUUGCAGUGCUGAGCUUUCAGUGCCUAAUGCUUUCCUGAGUCUAAGGCAUUUUUGAAUGCUUUAUGUACCCCAAACACACCAGGCAGUAUGGAAUCCUGGGCAGACUCAGGAGUGACAACUGUAAAUUAGCAACAAGCAGCAUUCAGACAGGCAGUUUUCUGUUGAAGAUGAGAUGCAGGAAAAUAUCCAGGGCUGAAAAGGAAAGAUAACUGAAUCAGAAGCAAAUAUUUCUUAGCGAACCCUUCAUAACUCAAAGAAGCUGGUGAGGAAGAAAGAAAAGAUUUUUCCUUUUGGACUGAUACUUCUUCCAUGAAGGUCUUCCUGCAGGUAGUAUAUCUGAAAGAAUAAAGAGGAACUGAAUGUGAGCAUUGUCUGGGGAAAAGGGUAAAUACUUACAUGUAAAUCAAGUCUCCAAAUUGGAGUACAAGUGAGAGAAGGUUAUCUAAGUGUUUCAUGGUUUCAUGCCUCUUUGUAUGUCUUUACAAUUACCUUUUAUACAAUAUCUUUCCUUCAACAUCGCAGGGAACUGGAUGGGAACCUAUCUCUGUCUCGAAUAAACCUGUAAAGUAAUUACAAA